GUCGCGCCUAGGCUGAUCCCCGAAAACCCGUUUCCCUGACGGGCUGGCGCGGCGAUCCUUUCGGGGG
rnacentral:sRNA from 1 species